rnacentral:tRNA from 1 species
GAGGGCAUAGCUUAGUGGUAGAUCACGUGCUUAGCAUGCACAAGGUCCUGGGUUCAAUCCUCAGUACCUCUG